AUCACCCUUCGUCUCUUCUGCCCUUUGUAGUGAAACUAUUCAGAAAGGCCACCUACAAUAGCUGCCUUCACAUUCUCUCCUCUUACUCUCUUCCUCUUGCCUUAUAACCUGGUUUCUGAUCUUGUCAUUCCACCACACUGCUCCCUCUAAAGUUGACAAUGAUCUCUUAGUUGCCGAAUCCAAAGGCCUUUUCUUGGUUACUGUUAGGGCCCAGCUCUGGACCGUGGCCUCCUGUGGGGUAGUGAGACACCUGGAGGUGCGAACCUGCCCCUUCCGGGGUACUGGGAACGCCUCAGUAACAGAUGCUGGCUCCACCCACAGGGAGGAACAUGGGAGGAGCUCGGGCAAGUUCCACCCACGGGGAGGAACAGAGUCAGGGCAUAUAAGAGCAGGGCUCAGGGUGUCGAUAAGCAGUCGAGUCGGAGCCGGAGAGGAUCCGGGACCUUGGGAGGCAGGAGANNNNNNNNNNGAGCCGGAGAGGAUCCGGGACCUUGGGAGGCAGGAGAGCAUGUAACCCAUAAAUCGUGUGCAGCUGCCAGCUCGGGUGUUCUGUCUGGUCAUUCCCCUCCACCCUCGGAGGGGCCGGAGACAUCCGAAGACCAGGAAGGGUGCCAUCGAGCUUUCUGGAAGUUAUCAGAGGCUGUGAUCGUGACAGUUCUCCUGGGGCCCGUUUGUGGCUCUGCGGCUGCACUGCCCAGCCUCUGUGGCCGAAGUUCCGACCGGCUCGACCGACCUUCCUGCCGGUCUGUAUUGGGCAAGCGCACAAGCCACCGGGACUCUCCGAACUACGUUUCCCAGACACCCUUGCCGAUUCAGCUCCCGGCUUUCCGGGCGGGAUUGGCCGGAAAAAGCAUUCUCCUUCCGCUUCCCCCUACGUCACUUCCGUUCCCUCUUGGGCCCCUCCCGGCUGCUCCGUCCUCAGCCUCCGCCUCCGCCUCCGCUUCCUCCGGGGCCCGAGCCCUGCGUCCUCCCGGGCCGGAGCCCUGCGUCCGUCCUGGGCCGGGGUGAGUGGCAGCCGGAGGCCAGGUUGGGCGGGCGGAGGGGGCAGAGCCCUCGGCUCCGGCGUGCGAAUCCCCGGGGAGGGUCUGGGCUGGGGGGGGGGGGAAUCACGCCUGCGCAGCUCGCCUCUUCUCUCGAGCUGGCUCGGCUCCGCCCCCUAGGCCAGCGGGCACACCCAUUGGCCCGGAACACCCGGGGUUCCACCUCCCCCGCCUUUCGUCCUUGGUUAGUUUUGGCCGGAGCUUGGCGAGUGCUGUGCCAGCGUGGAAAGUGUGAACUUGGAGGUUGUUUCUAAAAUGCGGUCUCGCGUCUCGCCGCAGCCUGGGGAGCCGCAGCGCAGGGAGGUGGGAAGACCCGAGUUCAAAUUCGGCCCCAGACACUGUGUGACCCCGGGCAGGUUAUUUAGCCGCUGCCUGCCUCAGUUUCCCCAUGUGUAAAAUGUAGAUCACAAUGAUACCGACCUCCCACCGUGGUGAGAAUGAGAGAUGUUUGUGAAGCGCUUCCCGAACCUUAAAGCGCCGUAUAAACGCUAGCCAAAGAAAAAAGGAAAGAUAACUUGAUCCAGCCCGUACUGCCCGAUCCAGCAGUCACACAGUGCUUACCAGGGGCCUGGCACAGGGGCUGCAGAGACCCCCAGCUUCCUCUUCAAGUACAGCCUCAUCCCGGAAGGAGGGUGGUGUCCGUGCACAACAAAUAUUAACCAGAUCUGGUCACAGCUGUCCACAGCUGACUUUUUAUCUCCAUUUCCUUCUCUCUGCCUCAGUUUCUCCAUUUGUGAAAGGGGCAUGAGACACUUCCCUGCCCUACUGGGCUGUUAAGAUAGGGCUUUGUGAAGCCGCCUGGGAUUGCUGGCCGCUCCUCUUUCUCCCUAACCCCUUAACCUCUCUGU
ensembl:lncRNA